ensembl:ncRNA mir-4964 mir-4964 stem loop
AUUUUUGAAUGGUCCUUUUCAUGCCCAAGGCGAAUAAAUAUGUAUUUAUGUAUAUUUUUUUAUAUGGUACGUAUUUAUUUGUCUGCAAAUGGCUGCCAAGGAGUGCUACAUA